GACAGAGGUGCCAAGCGUUUAGGCGGAAUCACUGGGCUUAAAGCGUGUGUAGGCGGAUCGUUAAGUACCUUGUGAAAUCCCACGGCUCAACCGUGGAACUGCUGGGUAUACUGGCGAUCUUGAGCCACCUAGGGGCGAGCGGAACAAACGGUGGAGCGGUGAAAUGCGUAGAUAUCGUUUGGAACGCCAACGGUGAAAACAGCUCGCUGGGGGGUGUGCUGACGCUGAGACACGAAAGCCAGGGGAGCGAACGGG
rnacentral:rRNA from 1 species